AUUGCGACGAUUGUGCAACGU
rnacentral:siRNA from 1 species